rnacentral:rRNA from 1 species
GGGGAAUUGUUCGCAAUGGGCGCAAGCCUGACGACGCAACGCCGCGUGGAGGACGAAGAUCUUCGGGUCGUAAACUCCUGUCGAGUGGGAAGAAUGCUUCGGGGGUGAAUAACCUCCGGAAUUGACGGUACCACUAAAGGAAGCACCGGCUAACUCCGUGCCAGCAGCCGCGGUAAUACGGAGGGUGCAAGCGUUAUCCGGAUUCACUGGGUUUAAAGGGUGCGUAGGUGGAUCUGUAAGUCAGUGGUGAAAUCUCCAAGCUUAACUUGGAAACUGCCGUUGAUACUAUAGAUCUUGAAUGCUGUGGAGGUGAGCGGAAUAUGUCAUGUAGCGGUGAAAUGCUUAGAUAUGACAUAGAACACCAAUUGCGAAGGCAGCUCACUACCCAGAUAUUGACACUGAGGCACGAAAGCGUGGGGAUCAAAC